rnacentral:rRNA from 1 species
UACGGAGGGGGCUAGCGUUGUUCGGAAUUACUGGGCGUAAAGCGCGCGUAGGCGGACCUGCAAGUCGGGGGUGAAAGCCCGAGGCUCAACCUCGGUACUGCCUUCGAUACUGCGGGUCUCGAGUCCGGGAGAGGUGAGUGGAAUUCCUAGUGUAGAGGUGAAAUGCGUAGAUAUCCGGAGGAACACCGGUGGCGAAGGCGGCUUCCUGGACCGACACUGACGCUGAGGCGCGAAAGCUAGGGGAGCAAACGGG